CUCUGUGACUCCUACGGGAGGCAGCAGUGGGGAAUAUUGCACAAUGGGGGAAACCCUGAUGCAGCCAUGCCGCGUGUGUGAAGAAGGCCUUCGGGUUGUAAAGCACUUUCAGUAGGGAGGAAGGUAGUGUAGUUAACACCUGCAUUAUUUGACGUUACCUACAGAAGAAGCACCGGCUAACUCCGUGCCAGCAGCCGCGGUAAUACGGAGGGUGCGAGCGUUAAUCGGAAUUACUGGGCGUAAAGCGCAUGCAGGCGGCCUGUUAAGUCAGAUGUGAAAGCCCGGGGCUUAACCUCGGAAUUGCAUUUGAAAACUGGCAGGCUAGAGUCUUGUAGAGGGGGUAGAAUUUCAGGUGUAGCGGUGAAAUGCGUAGAGAUCUGAAGGAAUACCAGUGGCGAAGGCGGCCCCCCUGGACAAAGACUGACGCUCAGAUGCGAAAGCGUGGGGAGCAAACAGGAUUAGAUACCCUGGUAG
rnacentral:rRNA from 1 species